CGUGAUACCCUGAUUUCCCCUGCGCACUGCUUCUCCCCACGGCGCACGCGCACCAUCUCCUGCGCGCCGCCAGUCCGGCUUCUCCUGGCUCCUGCGCGCCGCCAGCCGUCAGCCCGUCACCGAUUGGAGAUCCUUGGAAACCUGCGCGCCGCCAGCCCGUCACCGCUUGGAGACCCGCUCAGCCGCGCUUCCCUGCGCGCCGCCAGCCGUCGCCGAUCCGUGGCCGCGUCCGCCGCCGCCAGCUCUGAGGUCGCGCCGUCAGCCAGCCCGUCUGCCGUCGUGAGGUACUGAGGUUUGUGAUCUGCCGACAUCUCCCAUCUGCCCUGCCUGACGCUGUACUUGUCCGGUUGUCCCAUUCUCUGUUCUUGUUAGAUCCCAAUAUCCCAUGGCAACGUGUGCAUCUACCGAUGCUAGCAGCAUUAAAUGUUCUUGGUACUAGUAAAUCCAUGAUUAACUUAUUAAGAUUACUAUGGCAUUGAUCCAUUUCAGACAUUUCAACAUUUAAUUUUAUUUAUAAUAUAUAUUGCGUAUCGCCGUAUCCGUAUUUUUUGAGAAAUGGCGUAUCGGGGUAUCGGCGUAUCGCGUAUCCGUAUCUGUAUCCCCGUAUCAGGGCAACAUAGGUUCCCACUCUAACUCAGCGGUCCGUGAAGCUUCCCAAUUCUAUCCAGACACAUCAAAAAAUUAUAACAGAUUCUAGGUUCAUGUCCUUUUUUCAGGUGACCUAUCAAUAAACAUGAUUUCCUUAGUUUUUCCCUUUAACAUGCCCUAAACUUCCUCUCCUUUUAUACAGAAUUGCACUCUGAGACCAAAGGAAAACCCCCAAAUCGAAGCUAUGGCUCCCAACUCACCAAAUAGAUCCUCGCGACCAGCUAGAAUUUUUGAGGCACCCACCACCCGCUGGGCGGAGGAACGAGGGGGAAGAACCGGUCGUCGGCCCAACCGUGCAGAUCUGGCCGAAAGGUCAUGCUUGCGGAGAGCGGAUGGCUGGCCCUGCCCUAGGGCCCUCGCUGGCCUCCGUGACGCCAGGCUCUGCCGCAUAUGGGUGGGGGUUGACUGCGAGCGGUGAGGGGCGGCUGCGGCGACCUCGUGGAUGGGCAUUGCGGCUGGCUGUGGAAGGGCAUCAUAGUUUAGGGGUGGCGUCGAGGCCGAGACCGAUGGAAGAGCCGAUCUCAGAUGGGUCACGGGGUGGCGGUAUCAAGGACGGGGGCGAGGUACUGGGCCACGCGAGGUGGUGGCGUGGAGGGAGGGGAUCAAUCGUGGGCUAGGGGGCAGCGGGUUUCCGAGGGAGCUAGGGGGGGGGGGCACAAGGAGGACAUGAGUGGGGGCAUGGUUGUGCAUGUGGUCUACACUAUUGACUUAAUAGAUAGUAGAGAUAUGCAAUAACCGUAUAUACAAAGAAGUUCCACUAUUAAUUGGAAUUGACAAACUGUAUAAUGAUUAUUCAAUAUUAAAGAAAGAGAUGAUGUUAUACCUUAUGAGAUUAUUCAUCAAUAUUAAAGAAAGGACUUACUAGUCCCGGUGCUUUGCUUCUGCAGUUUGAACCUGGAAGCAAA
rnacentral:lncRNA from 1 species